GCAAGAAGAUAGAAUUUUGCGCCAUUUCUGUUAUUUUUUCAUGUUCUGAAAAGAACGUAAAAUGUAAUGAGAAGUCAUGGAGCAGCUGUUGGGCGUCGAAAUUUAGUUUUCGUUCUGUCCGUGGUUUUUAUUUUAUUCCUGAUUUUUGUCCAGUGGAGUAAAUGAUUCCCCGGUCGCCUGAAGAGUAGUGUGCUGGAGUUUAAAAUUUUCAAUGUGUAUAUCCAGGGUAACGAAGGCCUUUGAGAACAAUGUCUUUUUUCAUUCUUGUUCCAAGGAAAAAGUAGACAUCAGUUCUUGGGUUUGCCAUAAUAAUUACGCAAAAAAACCCCCCCNAAGNCCCCCANGAAAAAAGAAAUAGUUUUUUUUGAACCUGUGACUUGAGUUGUUGAUUCUGUAAAUAUGCAUAAAAUGGGCAGCCUUAUCAACACUGUAACCUGAUCCAAUCAGA
rnacentral:misc_RNA from 1 species